rnacentral:rRNA from 1 species
CCUACGGGUGGCUGCAGUGGGGAAUAUUUGACAAUGGGGGGAACCCUGAUCCAGCCAUGCCGCGUGUGUGAAGAAGGCCCUCGGGUUGUAAAGCACUUUCAGUGAGGAAGAACGCCUGGUGGUUAAUACCCAUCAGGAAAGACAUCACUCACAGAAGAAGCACCGGCUAACUCCGUGCCAGCAGCCGCGGUAAUACGGAGGGUGCGAGCGUUAAUCGGAAUUACUGGGCGUAAAGCGCGCGUAGGUGGCUUGAUAAGCCGGUUGUGAAAGCCCCGGGCUCAACCUGGGAACGGCAUCCGGAACUGUCAAGCUAGAGUGCAGGAGAGGAAGGUAGAAUUCCCGGUGUAGCGGUGAAAUGCGUAGAGAUCGGGAGGAAUACCAGUGGCGAAGGCGGCCUUCUGGACUGACACUGACACUGAGGUGCGAAAGCGUGGGUAGCAAACAGGAUUAGAUACCCCGGUAGUC